CAAAUUCAGAAAAAUCUAACAGAAAACGUGACAAUUGGCUCGACAAUCCUGGACAGACUGGCGGUUAAGAAUAGACAUGGUACAAAGGAGCUUGGCUGAAGACUUCAUCCUUUAUUGUGUCUGAUCCUAUAAAUAUUCAUGGUCGGCAGUCAUCAAUGGCCAAUCAGAUCACAAACGGAACUGAGCAGGGAAAGAGCCAAACUCCUCAAAACCUUCAUACAGAUUGGCAAUCUCCAGUAUCUUGUACCAUAUUGAUAAUUUCCCCAAACCGAUCUAUUCCAUUUGAUCUGUGGAGGAAGCUGAGCCAAGUGCCUCCCGUCCAGGUAAAUCCCUGUAAACACUUCUUCCCACUGUUUCAUUUCCAGGGCUAAUGAUGUUGCUUUUCUUUCUGGUUUUUUUUCCUCUUCUUCUCCUUCCUCUCUCAGGGUUUUCUUCAUGGUCUAGUCCCGUGAAGAAUCGUCAAAGGGAUCGUUGUGUACACUUACCCUCAGACGACAUCCUUCGCCUGUCAAGUCGGAAAGCGUGCAUGUGUAAAGAGGUCACCGUCUGAAUAUGUAGUAGAAGCAGACAUUCCUGGAGACACAGUUACCAGGACUCAGCGGAGGUUGAGAGUGUUUCAGUAAUCAGGGUUGAGAUGGUGCUCGUUAUAUUUGGCAAGUGGCACAAAUGGAGUUAGUGUUCCUGCAAUUGAAUGUCUGCUGAAUGAGAGUGGUGGUGAGGUGAGAUGGCCUGUAAGUAAUUCCUUACAGGUUGAUUUUAGUCGCCGUGAACAUUUGUAUCCUAUUAUAAUUUCAAAUGAACCAUUUAUAUAUUCACCUUGCCCUCCACCAACAUCUUAUCUAGCCGUCCCUGGUGACAUGUUACCUGAGGUGUUGACCCCUGUGAUUUGACCUCUAAGAGAUCCCUUUUCCCCAAGGUGUUAUUCACCCUGCAGGGCAUUAAUGUUAGGUUCCAUAUUACAACUGUAAUGGCCUUGUAUAAUGGGAUAACAGUACAUAUACAUGUAUGGUUUUAGUUAUUAUUUUGUGAAUGUUACAUUUAUUCACAGGUUAUUAUUAUAGUAUUACUCGACUGUGUUGGUACUUAACCUAGAGUUUACCUCUUGAUUUCAGACAUUUUAACCUGAUCUAGUUCCAUCCAGACAGUCAAAAGGUAUUUUGGAGCAUCUCAGGGGAUUGUCUGGAACAUUAGAGGAGAGAACAAUAUGAGCCCUAAACAUGAAAGCAGUCUUUGACUUAAACACGAUCAAAUAAAUGAUUAUUCAUUAGAGGAAACAGCUGCCUGCAUUUUAUUUUGUAUGUUUGU